AACACGGGAAAGAGAAAAAAAGAACAUGCGUAAAUGCUUUCGUUGCCUUUCAUUGAGAGUAAAAUGCCAGCUUCUCUCUUUGUUACAGAGCUAGAACCAACAAUAGUAAAUGCUGACGGAGAGGAAAGCCGGACAAGCGGUCUUUUUGUGAUUAAUACCUGAGGGACGAAGUGAAUGAAACGAGGAAGCAAAAAUGCAGUAGACCCCUGAUAUCCCCAGCACCUGCUGCAGAAGGAGGUGUUCUGCCACGGGCAAGUGUGCAGAUAGACAGGGAAGGAUACAAUACUUACUCUUUCGGACAAAUUGCCAGGGCUGAAGUUGAAGAGACCAGAAAAACGUAAGCAAGCCGAGGUGCGAAAACCACGCGGAACCAGCCGAGAGCCGUCUCCGUCUCCCGCGAACGAAAGCCCGUCCUUCCUGACUAGGAAGGCUCACUGUUAGUAGCGAUCGAAAUAACGGAUCACAGACGUAUAACGAAGGCGUUCGUAACGUCGGGGAACGACUGCACGCUGCCGUGAAGAAUUACGGGCUACCGCCCUCGGACCUCUGCAAGUUAUCGCGUGCCAGGAGCGGCCGGUAGGAUCCAGAUGCCGGCGGAAAGGUUCUCCUCCCGGUCCCGACGAGGAGCCUUCGGCCGUAGGAAGGUUGGCCGCGUCCUUACCUAGCGUUGUCGUCGCCGGGAGCUCUCCGCAGAGAUCUGCGUCUGGCCGCCGAAGACGAGCGGAAGGCGAGCCCGGGCUUGCGGCGUGGACGCAGCUAAGUCCCGGGGCUGCGUUGCGUGUGAGCAGGGCUGGGACGUGGCAGUGGUUUUGCCCUUGGCGGUUACGGGCGUCACUGGCCGUGGAUGGUUGCCCGCGGAGCCGAGAGGAGCAAAAUUAUCAACGGUCCGUGGGGGAGACGAAUUAGCGCUUGCGGCGUUUCAGAGCUGAAUCCUAUCCCCGAAGGAAAAAGCAGAAGGGGCAGGCCGUCGGCUACGCAGACGCCUGCCGCCUCGGGGGCUGCGGCGGGAGCUGACCCUUCCCUGACG